rnacentral:rRNA from 1 species
GACGAACGCUGCGGCGUGCUAAUACAUGCAAGUCGAGCGAAGUUUUUCUGGUGCUUGCACUAGAAAAACUUAGCGGCGAACGGGUGAGUAACACGUAAAGAACCUGCCUCAUAGACUGGGACAACUAUUGGAAACGAUAGCUAAUACCGGAUAACAGUAUUUCUCGCAUGAGAGAUAUUUAAAAGUUGGUUAUGCUAACACUAUGAGAUGGCUUUGCGGUGCAUUAGCUAGUUGGUGGGGUAAAGGCCCACCAAGGCGACGAUGCAUAGCCGACCUGAGAGGGUGAUCGGCCACACUGGGACUGAGACACGGCCCAGACUCCUACGGGAGGCAGCAGUAGGGAAUCUUCCGCAAUGGGCGAAAGCCUGACGGAGCAACGCCGCGUGAGUGAAGAAGGAUUUCGGUUCGUAAAGCUCUGUUGUUAGGGAAGAAUGGAUAUGUAGUAACUAUACAUGUAAGAGACGGUACCUAACCAGAAAGCCACGGCUAA